CACGGAACCAGCGCUGCGUGAGCUCAAGUUACUCCGCUUCUCCAAACUGUGACAACCAAACGACCCAGGCCGGGUGGCCACGGUGCAGAUGGGGUGCGGCCCGGAACCAGGGAGAGGUCCAGGAUGACAGAGCUGCAGCGUCCUGAGCUCAGGAGAGGGUGGGGUUCAAGUCCUGCUGCUCUACUUCUGAUCCGGCUCCCUGCUAAUGCGCCUGGGAAAGCAGUGGAAGAUGGGCCAAGUGCUGGCCCCUGCACCUACGUGGGAGACCCAGAGGAAGCUCCGGGCUUCAGCCUGGCUCAGCCCUGGCCGAUGUGGCCAUUUGGUGAGUGAGGCAGCACCUGCAAGAUAUAUCUAUCUCCCUACCUCUGCCUCUAAGAUAAACGAAUACAUCUUAAAAAAAAAAAA